GCUGCACUCUCACCACUAAGCAUGACGCAAUCGGUGCCAUCAAGAACGGCAUUAGCGACAUCUGUGGCUUCUGCACGGGUUGGCCGCGGAGAUUUGAUCAUUGAUUCAAGCAUCUGAGUAGCUGUAACCACAGGCUUGCCAGCAAGAUUGCACUUGUAAAUCAUCAUUUUUUGUGCCAAGAAGAUCUUCUCAACUGGAAUUUCCAUU
rnacentral:misc_RNA from 1 species